rnacentral:rRNA from 1 species
CCGGGUGUUGGUUCCGGUAGAGAUCGAGGGAAAUUAGUACCGAAGUCUGGGAUGGAAGAUGGCGAGAAAAGCUGUGUGUAUUUCUGAGGUGCCCGUACCGCAAACCGACACAGGUAGUCAAGAUGAGAAUUCUAAGGUGAGCGAGCGAACUCUCGUUAAGGAACUCGGCAAAAUGACCCCGUAACUUCGGGAGAAGGGGUGCUCUUUAGGGUUAACGCCCAGAAGAGCCGCAGUGAAUAGGCCCAAGCGACUGUUUAUCAAAAACACAGGUCUCUGCUAAACCGUAAGGUGAUGUAUAGGGGCU